rnacentral:rRNA from 1 species
GACGUAGGGUCCAAGCGUUGUCCGGAUUUACUGGGCGUAAAGAGCGCGUAGGCGGUCUGUUAAGUGUGAAGUGAAAUCUCCAGGGCUCAACCCCGGAACUGCAUCCGAUACUGCCAUGCUAGAGGAUUGGAGAGGUAGCUGGAAUUCUUGGUGUAGCAGUGAAAUGCGUAGAGAUCAAGAGGAACACUCGUGGCGAAAGCGAGCUACUGGACAAUUCCUGACGCUGAGGCUCGAAGGCUAGGGUAGCGAAAGGG